GCUCCUUGUCAUUCAGGUCUCAGUUAAAAUGUCAACUCUGGCUUUCUCUGAUCUUUCUGUCCCUCUACUGCGAGCUUCCUCAGUACAGGGACCUGACCUAUCUAGUUCAUGGCUUUGAACAGUGCCUCCGCACAUAGUAGGUACAUAAUAAAUCUUAGCCAACUAGAGUGAGGCAGAUUGUCCUGCUUGCCUUGUAGAAGCCAGCUUCUAUGAUGGGGCCCUUAGGACCAGAGGCCUCAAUCCCAUAGGUGCAAGGAAUUGAAUUAUGCCAACAACCUGAAUGAGCUAGUAAACACAUCUUUCCCAGGUAAAACAUGAUGAGGCCACAGACCCAGCCAACAUUUGGAUUGCAGCCUGGUGAGACAGACCCUGAAGCAGAGCACCCAGGUAAGCCGUGCCUGGACUUCUGACCUACAGAAACAGAGAUAGUCGAUGUGUAUAUCACCAUUUAUGCUGUUGAAGAAAGGACCAACGACUUAUUCCGCGGAAAUACCUUUUUUUCAAGACAGGCCAAGAUCACGUAAAUGGUGACUAUACACAUGGACCUCGCCGAAUGGAAUACACAGGCAUCAGAUCGACUACAUCUGUGGGAAGAGAUGAUGGAGAAGCUCGAUAUUAUCAUUUAGAACAAGGCCAGCAGCCAACUGCAGAAUAGAUCAUCAAUUGCUCAUAUGCAAGUUCAAGUUGAAGCAGAAGAAAAUUAAAACAAAUCCACAAGAGCCAAAGUAUGACCUUGAGUAUAUCUCACCUGAAUUUUAGAGGCCAUCUCAAGAAAGAUUUGACAUAUUGAACACUAAUGACCAAAGACCAGAUGAGUUGUGGGAUGACAUCAAGGACAUCAUACAUGAAGAAAGGAAAGGGUUGUUAAAAAGACAGAAAAGAAAAAAGAGAUCAAAAUGGAUGUAAGAAAAGACUUUGAAUCUUGCACUUGAACAUAGAUUAGCUAAAGCAAAAAAGAAGAAAUGAUGAAGUAAAAGGGCUGAACAGAACAUUUCAAAGGGUUUAUACCAAGAGAAGGAGGACCCCCUUUCCAACACUGAGGCCUAGAAUAUCAAAUCCUUUUCUAUGGACGUCAUCAAGCCUUAGGAGCUGCAUUUGGGUCAGGGUUGGGAACAGAAGGUAAAUACACUCCUCUGCAGUGUGCUUGCUGGCCUCUUCUGCCUCUGAGCCAAUGUUUGUAUUUGGGUGUGUGUCCAUAUGUGGGAGCCCUGGUGGCACAGUGGUUAAGAGCUACUGCUAACCGAAAGAUUGGCAGUUCAAAUCCAUCAGCUUCUCCUUGGAAACCCUAUAGGGUAGUUCUGUCUUAUAGGGU